UUGGCUUUGAAAGUAGCAGGAAUAUCCUGAAGAACAGAAGCUUCGUUGUAGCUGGUCUCAUACUGUAAGCGCACAUGGCCUUUGAUCUCUUUACUUAUCUGCUUCCCAAGAUCAUGUUUAUUCAUAUAUUUUAUAAUAUCCGUCAUUUUAUCCCUGAACCUUUCUGUUCUUGAUCCUUUCACAAUUAGUGCUGCCAUAUUACCUAGUAAAUAAGCACCAAGAAUCAUAUCACCCGAAAUAUACAUGAUUAUGAAUAUCAUUUCCCUGUUGUUCACAGCAUGUAUAUCUCCGCUGACCAACAGUUGCCAUGGUGACAAUGGCGAAAUAUAGAGAAGUUAUAUAGCGUGUCCACAAGUCGAUAUCUCGAAAUUCG
rnacentral:lncRNA from 1 species